GGACUACUCGGGUUUCUAAUCCUGUUUGCUACCCACGCUUUCGUAGUUGAGUGUCAGUUGCUGUCCAGUUCGCCGCCUUCGCCUCUGGUAUUCCUCCCGAUCUCUACGCAUUUCACCGCUACACCGGGAAUUCUGCGAACCUCUCCAGCACUCUAGUAAUAAAGUUUCCAAGGCACGUCCUGAGUUGAGCUCAGGGAUUUCACCCCAGACUUUUAUUACCACCUACCUACCCUUUACGCCCAAUAAUUCCGAGCAACGCUUGCACCCUUCGUAUUACCGCGGCUGCUGGCAC
rnacentral:rRNA from 1 species